rnacentral:rRNA from 1 species
UACGAAGGGGGCUAGCGUUGCUCGGAAUCACUGGGCGUAAAGCGCACGUAGGCGGAUUGUUAAGUCAGGGGUGAAAUCCUGGAGCUCAACUCCAGAACUGCCUUUGAUACUGGCGAUCUCGAGUCCGGGAGAGGUGAGUGGAACUGCGAGUGUAGAGGUGAAAUUCGUAGAUAUUCGCAAGAACACCAGUGGCGAACGGCGG